GAUGAAGAACGUAGCGAAAUGCGAUAAGUAAUGUGAAUUGCAGAAUUCAGUGAAUCAUCGAAUCUUCGAACGCACAUUGCGCCCGCCAGUAUUCUGGCGGGCAUGCCUGUCCGAGCGUCAUUUCAACCCUCGAACCCCUCCGGGGGGUCGGCGUUGGGGAUCGGCCCCUCACCGGGCCGCCCCCGAAAUCCAGUGGCGGUCUCGCCGCAGCCUCUCCUGCGCAGUAGUUUGCACACUCGCACCGGGAGCGCGGCGCGGCCACAGCCGUAAAACACCCCAAACUCUGAAAUGUUGACCUCGGAUCAGGUAGGAAUACCCGCUGAACUUAAGCAUAUCAAUAAGCGGAGGA
rnacentral:misc_RNA from 1 species